rnacentral:lncRNA from 1 species
GUGAUUUGCGAAUAUUUGACCCAGUCGAAGAUGGAGACCCCGAGAACAAUGGAGACGAGUCUCCCCGAUGCGAGACAAACGGCCAUGGCCGGUCUCCCAGCCCCGACGACACUGGGCGGGAGCUGCAGAUGCAGCGCCGAAUCCAGAAACCAGAAGAACAAAAGGGUGAGUAGAGCUUCAUCAACCCAUCAAACUUCCCAUCGAGAAAAUCGAAGGAAAACAGCGACGAUCGGAAAGUCCACCGACGAACGAAGAAGGAACCAACGGAGGCACGCCAAGAAUGACUUCUUUCGAUUUCACUGGCGCGAACUGCAAUGAGAACUUGCCGGCGGACGAGACGAUCUCCCCACUCCCCAGCAAGAACUCGCUGAUCCUCUUCUUCGGCGAC